GCGUCGGUAGUGCAAUGGUUCAGCACGCACUUCCUGAUAGAGUGAAAUAUAGGUUCGAAUCCCAAUUGACGCA